rnacentral:lncRNA from 1 species
UUCAGCAUUCAGCCAAGGACAAGAAGAUGGUGACGGUGGCGAGGAGGGUGGGGACGACGGAGGAAGAGUCGUCAGAGGGUGUGGUGUGAAGGUGGGUGACGUAGCUGAAAAGGAGGUGGUGGAUGGCGUAGGGGAAGUGGAGAAGUGCUGGAUGAGGGAAGAAAAAAUGACCCAGUGUCAGAAAAAAAUAAAUAAAAAGGGUGGCAUUCUCCGUUAGCCAGGUCAGCGAAAAGAUAACUGUGUUAAUUUUAAAGCACUAAAAUGUACCUUACUUUGAAAGAGGGACUGAAACCAAAACCACUUGAUAGUAUAAGGACUAAAAACAUAUUUAACCCUUUUUUAAUUAAGGACCAACUAGAUGCUAAUUUUAAACCAAGGACCUAAUUGACACAACCGAACAAAACUAGGGAC